UUUUGUUCAUAAUAAAAUUUUAUUUAUUCCAUUAGUAAGUGUAUAUGAAAAUUUCAGAUAAAAAUAUGUCAGAAAGAAUGAAUGCACGAUAUUAUAAAUAGAAUAAUAAAUAAUAAUGCUUUUUGGCUCAAUAAAAAGAACCACAAAAAUUAUUAACAAUGAAGAAAAACAGUAAACGAUUUAGCAAAACAAUUCUACAGUAUCAGACCUGAUAACCAUGAUAAAUACACAAAAAUAUACAUAUAAAUAACAAUCAGCGCAUCAACAGAAUACAGGACAUAUAGUCGCAAUGUAUCAAAUAAAUGGUUGGCGCAAUGCACAUACAAAAUUGGACGACAUAAGACGCAUGAAAUAUUUUUUUAUUUUUUAAAAAAAAGCUCAUCUAGGGGGAAGAACCUGAAAAUCACUGCAUUAUAUCUUAAUACUGCAUAGUUUAACUUUCCUUUUCCAUAUAAAACUAAAUUAAUUAAAUAUCACUAAUUGCUUGACUAAGUUUCAACUUGAUUCGAGAACGCGUGUGGAAGGGAAAAAAAUAAAUGUACCAGAUAGACAUACGAAGGGAGUGAACAUAAGCUUUGUAAAAACGCUACGAAUCCUCUCCUAAUCAUACAGCGAGAUACCUUACAUUUUUAAUGUCAGUGUAAAAUUAAAGACAACUGCGGCACCUCUCUGAAUAAGGUGUAAAGGUCUAAAAAAGAUGUGGAAUGUGUCUUUACUUCAUGUUGGAAGAUUUUAGUUUUCUGGAAUGCUUUUCGAGAAUAAUUCGUUGAGACGAUCAUUUCUCAAAGCAAGUUCCUACGAAAAACAGUUAGUAGGUAUCCCUUUGUUAGAAGGCAACUGACCUAAAUAAAAUAUUGUAAAACAAAAGAGGUAGAUUCAAUCUUGUCGUCUGCUAUUGUUUCUUACAAAAAAUAAAGUCAAGCAACAGAACUAACAUACAGUAUAACAUAUCCUAGUAUAACAUUAUCAUUUAGUAUAAGUUAUGAUAUAUAGAAUAACUUUAUCAUAUUCAGACCUACAUAUAGUGUAAAACUAAACUACAAAAGAGGUAGAUCCAAUCUUCUCGUCUGCUAUUGUUUCUUACAAUAACUGAAGUCAAGCAACAUAACCAACAUACAGUAUAACAUAUCCUAGUAUAACAUUAUCAUUUAGUAUAAUUUCUAACUUAUAGUACAACUUUAUUAAAAAGUAUAACAACAGCAUCAUAUAGUAUAGCGUAUAGUGUAACAUAUAUGGUAAAGAGCACACACACACGCACACACACAUUUCUUCUUCUUAUUAUAUAGGUAAGAUGUGAAGAAAUUUUUAUCCAAAAUAUAAAACCAUACAAAAUGUAAAUUUAUUACUCUAAUCAUAUUCAACAUGGUAAUAUCUACGCAAGAAGGAAACAGAAUUAUACAUAUAAUAAGUGUAUAGAUUCAAAGUAUAAAGCUUUAAUUCAAGCAGUCGUUUUCCUUUUAGUUAUAUAUAAAGUACAAGCAGAGGCGUAUCGAAAGAGGGCACGAUGCCACGGGGGGCGCCACACGCAGCCUAAAUUUCUUUGUGAUGUUCAUAGAAAAUGGAGGGGAGGGGGAUGCGGGGGGGGGGGG